AACAGGCAUUCCCUAGUAGCGGCGAGCGAGCGGGAAGAGCUCAAAUUUAUAAUCUGGCACCUUCGGUGUCCGAGUUGUAAUCUCUAGAAGUGUUUUCCGCGUUGGACCGCACACAAGUCUGUUGGAAUACAGCGGCAUAGUGGUGAAACCCCCGUAUAUGGUGCGGACGCCCAGCGCUUUGUGAUACACUUUCAAUGAGUCGAGUUGUUUGGGAAUGCAGCUCAAAUUGGGUGGUAAAUUCCAUCUAAAGCUAAAUAUUGGCGAGAGACCGAUAGCGAACAAGUACCGUGAGGGAAAGAUGAAAAGCACUUUGGAAAGAGAGUUAACAGUACGUGAAAUUGUUGGAAGGGAAACGCUUGAAGUCAGACUUGCUUGCCGGAGCUUGCUUCGGUUUGCAGGCCAGCAUCAGUUUUCCGGGGUGGAUAAUGACGGUUUGAAGGUAGCAGUCUCGGCUGUGUUAUAGCUUUCCGUUGGAUACAUCCUGGGGGACUGAGGAACGCAGCGUGCUUUUUGCGAAAGACUCGUCUUUUUCACGCUUAGGAUGCUGGUGGAAUGGCUUUAAACGACCCGUCUUGAACC
rnacentral:rRNA from 1 species